GAUGAACGCUGGCGGCGUGCCUAAUACAUGCAAGUCGAGCGAACGGACGAGAAGCUUGCUUCUCUGAUGUUAGCGGCGGACGGGUGAGUAAAACGUGGAUAACCUACCUAUAAGACUGGGAUAACUUCGGGAAACCGGAGCUAAUACCGGAUGAUAUUUUGAACCGCAUGGUUCAAAAGUGAAAGACGGUCUUGCUGUCACUUAUAGAUGGAUCCGCGCUGCAUUAGCUAGUUGGUAAGGUAACGGCUUACCAAGGCAACGAUGCAUAGCCGACCUGAGAGGGUGAUCGGCCACGCUGGAACUGAGACACGGUCCAGACUCCUACGGGAGGCAGCAGUAGGGAAUCUGCCGCAAUGGGCGAAAGCCUGACGGAGCAACGCCGCGUGAGUGAUGAAGGUCUUCGGAUCGUAAAACUCUGUUAUUAGGGAAGAACAUAUGUGUAAGUAACUGUGCACAUCUUGACGGUACCUAAUCAGAAAGCCACGGCUAACUACGU
rnacentral:rRNA from 1 species